rnacentral:rRNA from 1 species
AGAGUUUGAUUCUGGCUCAGAACGAACGCUGGCAGCGUGGAUGAGGCACGCAAGUCGAGCGGGAUCGGGAAAGCAGCAAUGUGGACCCGUGAGAGCGGCGGAAGGGCGAGUAAUACGUGGGCAAGUUACCUCUUAGCCGGGGACAACGUCUGGAAACGGACGCUAAUACCGGAUGUGGCCCGGAACCGCAUGGUUCCGACGCUAAAGGCGGGGACCCGCAAGGGCCUGUCGCUAGGAGAGACGCCCGCGUGCCAUCAGCUUGUUGGUGAGGUAAUGGCUCACCGAGGCUUACGGCUAGGUGGACUGAGAGGUUGGUCACCCGCACUGGGACUGAGACACUGCCCAGACUCCUACGGGAGGCUGCAGUCGAGGAUCAUUCGCAAUGCACGAAAGUGUGACGAUGCGACGCUGCGUGGAGGACGACGGCCUUCGGGUUGUAAACUCCUGUCAUGAGGGAAAAGACGGCCUCCGUGAAUACCGGAGGUCACCGAUGGUACCUCAAGAGGAAGCCACGGCUAACUCUGUGCCAGCAGCCGCGGUAAUACAGAGGUGGCAAGCGUUGUUCGGAUUUACUGGGCGUAAAGAGUGCGUAGGCGGCCAUGUGUGCCAAACGUGAAAUCCCGGGGCUCACCCCCGGAAGUGCGUCUGGAACUGCAUGGCUUUGAGUCCGGGAUGGGAUGUCGGAAUGCAUGGUGUAGCGGUGAAAUGCGUUGAUAUCAUGCAGAACACCGGUGGCGAAGGCGGACAUCUGGAACGGUACUGACGCUGAGGCACGAAAGCGUGGGGAGCAAACAGGAUUAGAUACCCUGGUAGUCCACGCCGUAAACGGUGCGCGCUUGGUGUGGGGGGAAUAGACCCCCCCCCCGUGCCGUAGCAAACGCGUUAAGCGCGCCGCCUGGGGAGUACGGCCGCAAGGUUAAAACUCAAAGAAAUUGACGGGGGCCCGCACAAGCGGAGGAGCAUGUGGCUUAAUUCGAUGCAACGCGAAGAACCUUACCCAGGCUUGACAUGCAGCUGCACGGUCGGUGAAAGCCGAUCUCCUUCGAGGGUGCUGCACAGGUGCUGCAUGGCUGUCGUCAGUUCGUGCCGUGAGGUGUUUGGCUAAGUCCACCAACGAACGCAACCCCUGUGUCCAGUUGCCAGCGGAUAGCGCCGGGGACUCUGGACAGACUGCCCGUUCACACGGGAGGAAGGUGGGGAUGACGUCAAGUCAGUAUGGCCCUUACGCCUGGGGCUGCACACGUGCUACAAUGGCCGGUACAGAGGGAUGCCAAGCCGCAAGGCGGAGCAAAUCCCCAAAACCGGCCCCAGUUCGGAUUGCGGUCUGCAACUCGACCGCAUGAAGUUGGAUUCGCUAGUAACGGCGUAUCAGCUGCGACGCCGUGAAUACGUCCCCGGGCCUUGUACACACCGCCCGUCACAUCAUGAAAGCCGUCUGCACCCGAAGUCGCCGGCCCAACCCGCAAGGGAGGGAGGCGCCG